GAUGAACGCUGGCGGCGUGCCUAAUACAUGCAAGUCGAACGAAACUUCUUUAUCACCGAGUGCUUGCACUCACCGAUAAAGAGUUGAGUGGCGAACGGGUGAGUAACACGUGGGCAACCUGCCCAAAAGAGGGGGAUAACACUUGGAAACAGGUGCUAAUACCGCAUAACCAUAGUUACCGCAUGGUAACUAUGUAAAAGGUGGCUAUACUACCGCUUCUGGAUGGGCCCGCGGCGCAUUAGCUAGUUGGUAGGGUAAAGGCUUACCAAGGCAAUGAUGCGUAGCCGAAUUGAGAGGGUGAUCGGCCACAUUGGGACUGAGACACGGCCCAAACUCCUACGGGAGGCAGCAGUAGGGAAUCUUCCACAAUGGGCGAAAGCCUGAUGGAGCAACGCCGCGUGGGUGAAGAAGGUCUUCGGAUCGUAAAACCCUGUUGUUAGAGAAGAAAGUGCGUGAGAGUAACUGUUCACGUUUCGACGGUAUCUAACCGGAAAGCCACGGCUAACUACGUG
rnacentral:rRNA from 1 species